rnacentral:rRNA from 3 species
GCCUGAUGCAGCAACGCCGCGUGAGGGACGACGGCCUUCGGGUUGUAAACCUCUUUUAGCAGGGAAGAAGCGAAAGUGACGGUACCUGCAGAAAAAGCACCGGCUAACUACGUGCCAGCAGCCGCGGUAAUACGUAGGGUGCAAGCGUUAUCCGGAAUUAUUGGGCGUAAAGAGCUCGUAGGCGGUUUGUCGCGUCUGCUGUGAAACCCCGAGGCUCAACCUCGGGCCUGCAGUGGGUACGGGCAGACUAGAGUGCGGUAGGGGAGAUUGGAAUUCCUGGUGUAGCGGUGGAAUGCGCAGAUAUCAGGAGGAACACCGAUGGCGAAGGCAGAUCUCUGGGCCGUAACUGACGCUGAGGAGCGAAAGGGUGGGGAGCAAACAGGCUUAGAUACCCUGGUAGUCCACCCCGUAAACGUUGGGAACUAGUUGUGGGGUCCAUUCCACGGAUUCCGUGACGCAGCUAACGCAUUAAGUUCCCCGCCUGGGGAGUACGGCCGCAAGGCUAAAACUCAAAGGAAUUGACGGGGACCCGCACAAGCGGCGGAGCAUGCGGAUUAAUUCGAUGCAACGCGAAGAACCUUACCAAGGCUUGACAUAUACGAGAACGGGCUAGAAAUAGUCAACUCUUUGGACACUC